AAUCUUCCGCAAUGGACGAAAGUCUGACGGAGCAACGCCGCGUGAGUGAUGAAGGUUUUCGGAACGUCCCACUCUGUUGUUAGGGAAGAACAAGUAUCGGAGUAACUGCCGGUACCUUGACGGUACCUAACCAGAAAGCCACGGCUACCUACGUGCCAGCAGCCGCGGUAAUACGGAGGUGGCAAGCGUUGUCCGGAAUUAUUGGGCGUAAAGCGCGCGCAGGCGGUCUUUGAAGUCUAAUGUGAAAGCCCCCGGCUCAACCGGGGAGGGUCAUUGGAAACUGGGAGACUUGAGUGCAGAAGAGAAGAGUGGAAUUCCACGUGUAGCGGUGAAAUGCGUAGAGAUGUGGAGGAACACCAGUGGCGAAGGCGACUCUUUGGUCUGUAACUGACGCUGAGGCGCGAAAGCGUGGGGAGCAAACAG
rnacentral:rRNA from 1 species